rnacentral:rRNA from 1 species
GAUGAACGCUGGCGGCGUGCCUAAUACAUGCAAGUCGAGCGAACAGACGAGGAGCUUGCUCCUCUGACGUUAGCGGUGGACGGUUGAGUAACACGUGGAUAACCUACCUUUAAGCCUGGGAUAACUUCGUGAAACCGGAUCUAAUACCGGAUUACAUGCUGAACCGCAUGGUUCAUCUUUGAAAGACGGUCUUGCUUUCGUUUCUUUAUCGAUCUGCGCCGCAUUAGCUAGUUGGUAAGGUAUCGGUUUACCAAGGCAACGAUGCGUAGCCGACGUGCGAGGGUGAUCGGACGCACUGGAACUGAGACACAGUGCAGAGCCCGACGGGAGGCGGCAGUAGGGGAGCUUCAGCAAUGGGCGAGAGCGUGACGAAGAAACAGCGCGUGAGUGAAGAAGGUAUAAGGAUCGUAGAACGCUGUUGUUAGGGAAGAACAAAGGAAGAAGUAACUAGGGACAGCUUGACGGUACCUAAUCAAAAAGCAACGGCUAACUACGUG